GGUGAGAGUGGCGAACGGGUGAGUAACACGUAGGUAAUCUACCUUUUGGGUGGGGGGAUAGCCCAUGGAAACAUGGGGUAAUACCGCAUGAUGCCGUAAGGUUAAAGGAGCAAUUGUUCCGCCUGGGGAUGAGCCUGCGGUCCAUUAGCUAGUUGGUGAGGUAAGAGCUCUACCAAGGCGACGAUGGAUAGCCGGCCUGAGAGGGUGAACGGCCACACUGGGACUGAGACACGGCCCAG
rnacentral:rRNA from 1 species